CCCUGCCCAGGGUGUACCCCAGCCCUGUGCCCUGCGAUAGACUGGCACCCCGCCCAGGGUGUACCCCAGCCUUCUGCCCUAUGCUGCCUGGGAUGAGUUCCGAGCUGCACUGAACCUGACUGGUUGGAAGGUGGACAAAUGGAGUACAGCAGUGGUUGACAUAAUGAAGAGCAGGCAGCUCUAUCGUCUGUCAGCACGUUCCCCGUGACGCUGUCUGCUGGGACCAGCUGCCUGCCCUCUCUUCUCAAGCCUGCUAUGGUAUCACAAUGUGCCUACAACACAGGGAGGGCAUGCAAACUCUGCACGCAAGGACUCCAACACUUAUCCCUGAGUGUGUGUCCCACCAAGGGAAGCUGUCACUGCAGGCAUGAGGCACGGCUGUACACUCAGCUCCAAAGGGCCACCACAUCCAC